AUGACACUCACGCUAGCCAAAAGCCUUCUCCACUUUAGAAAUGCUAAAGUGAAGCUUCGCGCUCACGUUCAGUGUAUUAAUGCCUCUUGAAGUAAUUGUGUAUGCCAUUAAGGAAGUGGAUUUGCUAUCGGGAAAUGAAUGCAUGCGCGCCCUUUGCACAACACCUCAUUAAUAACUGUUGUUGUUUUAUUUUCCCCCUGCCGCCUUUGCGGAGGGGCAGAACGUUGUGCCAGGGUGGAUUGGAGAUGACAGGGAGAUACAUUUUUCUGACUUCCUGAUUCCCAUUCAAAUUAGCGUCACACCUUGUGGUCCUGUAGAAUGCAAACUCAAUCUGUGUUUUGUCUCAUAGGAGCACUUGCAUCUAACCUUUGACCUCACAACUCAAACAGAAAGCAAUGGCCGUCAGAUGUAUGAGGACUAUGCCGGCUCAAACACUUGUCAGCUAGAGGAAGGCGGUCGUGAGUGAUCAUCUCUGGUCACACGUAUUGCCUCUGCAACACUCCAGACAGCUUAAUCAGCAGAAUCUUGAAGGCAGGAAUUCAUCACUCAUUACUUUGCUGGCUAUCAGCAAUUAGCAGUGGGAGGUAGAUGAUCCUGCUUUUAGAGGAUCAAUCCGUCCAUCUGUGCUCCACUACCAGGGGCAAGUGCAGCCUCACGUUCACUGCAUGAUGGAUGCAUGGAACGGCGCUGCGUUACUGAAACAAGAAAACCUCUUAAUGUCCGCAAACUUCAUUCUUAGUGCAGAGGAAGGUGAUCCCUCUCGCAGCGGUUUCGAAGGAUGCGGACCCUUGAUGGAUCUUUGUUCAUCUGCCAUGUUUUGUCCCUCCCCUUGUACUCAUUCAUCUGCUGGCGAAAAUGAAGAGGCUGUCGCCGUUCAGCCGCCAUUAAUUUUUCAUGAAAAUAUCAAUUAUGUCCUGUAAUAGAGAGCUCGCAUGCACCGCCCGGGAGGGAUCGGCCAUCCUCCAUGCAAUCAUCCCAAAUUUGGCCUUGUGCUCCGCUUAUACCCUUCAUCCCCAGCUCCCUCCACCCUGAGAGCCGUACUCUCCUAAUUAGUCACCAGGAGGAGAGGGGGCUCUAUUAGGACCAGUGAUGAAUCAUUAUCUUCCGUAAUUGGCCCUCCAGUCCCCCAGGGGGUGCCCUGCUCCAGACUGCCCAGCUGGAGGAGCCUAUCCUGCCACGGCAUGAAUCUGCAGCUGGAGAGUGAGCCAAACUUCUUCUUCUUCUUUUUUUUUUUACUGCAAAGCCGCCAUUAAUAAUCCUGAACCUCAGCUCAUACUAAUAGGUUCAUAUUAAUCAUUGUUUGGGUGAUGCGGUUCUGUAAUUGAGAGCCGCCUUAAGAAGAUUAAUUUGGUGUAAUAUUCAUCACAGAGGGGAAGAGAGUUAUUGGUAUUCAUUAUGAUGGUGAUGUUGCCACAGCAAUUUUGCAAAGGCGGGUAAAGCUUUGUGAAUGCGGCCUUGCGAAAUGAUAAACAACUCGUUUAUGAUUCUGUAUUACUCUACAACAACAGUUUGGAUUCAUUUCCAUAUAGUGAGUGCAUUUUUCUUUGU